rnacentral:rRNA from 1 species
UGUCUGGUGGGUAGUUUGACUGGGGCGGUCUCCUCCUAAAGAGUAACGGAGGAGCACGAAGGUUGGCUAAUCCUGGUCGGACAUCAGGAGGUUAGUGCAAUGGCAUAAGCCAGCUUGACUGCGAGCGUGACGGCGCGAGCAGGUGCGAAAGCAGGUCAUAGUGAUCCGGUGGUUCUGAAUGGAAGGGCCAUCGCUCAACGGAUAAAAGGUACUCCGGGGAUAACAGGCUGAUACCGCCCAAGAGUUCAUAUCGACGGCGGUGUUUGGCACCUCGAUGUCGGCUCAUCACAUCCUGGGGCUGAAGUAGGUCCCAAGGGUAUGGCUGUUCGCCAUUUAAAGUGGUACGCGAGCUGGGUUUAGAACGUCGUGAGACAGUUCGGUCCCUAUCUGCCGUGGGCGCUGGAGAACUGAGGGGGGCUGCUCCUAGUACGAGAGGACCGGAGUGGACGCAUCACUGGUGUUCGGGUUGUCAUGCCAAUGGCACUGCCCGGUAGCUAAAUGCGGAAGAGAUAAGUGCUGAAAGCAUCUAAGCACGAAACUUGCCCCGAGAUGAGUUCUCCCUGACUCCUUGAGAGUCCUGAAGGAACGUUGAAGACGACGACGUUGAUAGGCCGGGUGUGUAAGCGCAGCGAUGCGUUGAGCUAACCGGUACUAAUGAACCGUGAGGCUUAACCUUACAAC